AUGAAAAAAAUCUUAUUGAAAAAAAAAAAAAAAAAUAAAAAAAAAAAAAAAAAAAAAAAGGAAGGCAUA
rnacentral:rRNA from 1 species